UACGAAGGGAGCUAGCGUUGUUCGGAAUCACUGGGCGUAAAGCGCACGUAGGCGGAUGUGUCAGUCAGGGUGAAAUCCCGGAGCUCAACUUCGGAACUGCCUUUGAUACAGCACGUCUUGAGUCCGAUAGAGGUGGGUGGAAUUCCUAGUGUAGAGGUGAAAUUCGUAGAUAUUAGGAAGAACACCGGUGGCGAAGGCGGCCCACGUG
rnacentral:rRNA from 1 species